GCUGCAGCUUCUGGACACUGACACCUGCCGGGUGCUCCUGGCCUCAGGUGCGCCCCGCCCCCACCUGGCCAGACAGGUCCGCCGGCAGCACCGUCCGCCCCUCCUCCCAGCGCUCAGCUCCAGCUCGCACCCACCCGCCAAUGGAGGGGAACCUUACAAGGAGGGCCCUGUCUGCAGUGUUCUGGAAGGUGACUUACUUCGUGUUCUGGGCCCGAGGCAGAACCGAGCAGGCAGCAAUCCUGUCGCCUCUUCCUGUCCACUCUCCAUCUUCUCUCCGACUCUGGCCUGGGCCCACCUGUUCGGCCACACCGAUGGCCACCCUGCCCUGUCGUGUCCAGAGCCCAAGAGGAGACGGGAGUGAGGUUUAGGCAGCUCCCCCUCCGCCCGUCGGCCGACGUGGCUCUGCAGAUCCUGCAGCGGCUCUGUCUUCACCGUCACGUCACUUGGCUCUUUGUGAGCGGGUCUUUGAAUGAUCCUAACUUGAGAGAGCCAUCAGUUUCCUGACAGCGCCUUGAUUGGUACACAUUAAUAAUUCCUAUUGAUGAUUGAAAAAAUGUAAAAAUCCGCCUUUAUCUACUCGUUUUAUUUUAAAAAUGGUUCAUCUUCAGAGAGGUCCUUUCAUUAUUUUCCUUUCCCCUUCCGUCUUAGGAAGAUUCUGUUGUACAUGACCCUGUUUAAUCCUUCUCCUCCCCCAGUCUGGAAAGAUCUUUCCACGUGGCAGUUCCCCGUAAUUUAUACGGUGGAGACGGGGAAAUAUAGGCCCUGAGCCCCGAUAGCUAAAACUUCUGUCUUCUUGGACAUUAUCCUGGAGCCCAGCUUACAUCUGGAAUUGAGGUCUCCGCGAGGUUAAAUCAGUUGUCACAGCGAUUCAAGCAAAUCUCGCACAAGCCGGAGAGCCUCGGGCGGCCUCCCACACCAGGGACCACUCCAAGGCCGGGGCCUGGUUCCUCGCGCCCAUCCACUCCAGUCCCUCCGGCCAGUCUCCCGUCCCCGUUCUGGGCCGUGCACUGGUCUCUUCCAUGCAGUCGGGAACAUCAGCGGCCAUGCCAGCUGCAGGGUCUGAGGCCCCUCCUCCCAGAGUCGCCGGUUCCCAGUCAGCACCCUGUACCCUCAUACGCCUCGUGGCCGGCCUGGGUGCUGGCUACAGUGCUGUCCCCGGGCCCAGCCUCAGGGCCAGCACAGCGGGCCGGGCCAGGGAGCACCGCUCCUCUGCUCACACACAAACCUGGUCCCUGGCAGUCCCGGGGGAGCUGUGGGGACGGCAGAGCACUGCCCCUCAUCACUCACAGCGAGCCCGGCCGCUGCGGCCCAUUCCCGGACUGGCUCGCGUGUGGCAUCAAUUAUUCACGCUCCGAGUAUAAUCAGCUGUCAUGUCCAAAAUAGGCCAUUGUCAGGAAGGCUGUGGAGGUGCAGUUCCCCAUUGGCGGUGCAAGCCCAACACUGGGGCCUGAGCAAAUCUCCAGGGAAAGGCGCUCCUCGGAGCCACGGCUCAGA